GCCCACCCUGGAAACGGC
rnacentral:snRNA from 1 species